AUCCAGUUGACGAGUCCGAAACAGGACGAAAUGCGCAUCCUGGAU
rnacentral:hammerhead_ribozyme from 1 species